rnacentral:rRNA from 1 species
UACGUAGGGGGCGAGCGUUGUCCGGAAUUAUUGGGCGUAAAGCGCGCGCAGGCGGUCCUUUAAGUCUGAUGUGAAAGCCCACGGCUCAACCGUGGAGGGCCAUUGGAAACUGGGGGACUUGAGUGCAGAAGAGGAGAGUGGAAUUCCUGGUGUAGCGGUGAAAUGCGUAGAGAUCAGGAGGAACACCGAUGGCGAAGGCAGCUCUCUGGUCUGUAACUGACGCUGAGGCGCGAAAGCGUGGGGAGCAAACAGG